UGCUCUCAAAAAAUUGCACGUCUUGGGCUGGAGAUAUGGCUCAGUGGUAGCGCACUUGCCUGGCAUGCGUGCGACCCGGGUUCGAUCCUCAGCACCACAAACAAACA
rnacentral:miRNA from 1 species